rnacentral:rRNA from 1 species
UACGGAGGGUGCGAGCGUUGUCCGGAAUCAUUGGGCGUAAAGGGCGCGUAGGUGGCCCGGUCAGUCGAUGGUGAAAGCGCGGGGCUCAACCCCGAGUCGGCCGUGCGAACUGGUCAGCUGGAGCACUGUAGAGGCAGAUGGAAUUCCGGGUGUAGCGGUGGAAUGCGUAGAGAUCCGGAAGAACACCGGUGGCGAAGGCGGUCUGCUGGGCAGUAGCUGACACUGAGGCGCGACAGCGUGGGGAGCAAACAGG